rnacentral:rRNA from 1 species
UACAAAGGAAUUGACGGGGCCCGCACAAGCGGUGGAGCAUGUGGUUAAUUCGACGCAACGCGAAGAACCUUACCAGGGCUUGACAUCCCCUGACCGCGUAUGAAAGUACGUUUUCACCCUCGGGUGACAGGGAGACAGGUGGUGCAUGGUUGUCGUCAGCUCGUGUCGUGAGAUGUUGGGUUAAGUCCCGCAACGAGCGCAACCCCUACGUUUAGUUGCUAACGCGUGAAGGCGAGCACUCUAGACGAACUGCCGUUGACAAAACGGAGGAAGGUGGGAUGACGUCAAAUCAUCAUGCCCCUUAUGUUCUGGGCUACACACGUGCUACAAUGGCCGGUACAGACGGACGCAAAGCCGCGAGGUGGAGCAAAUCCUAAAAAGCCGGUCUCAGUUCGGAUUGCAGGCUGCAAUUCGCCUGCAUGAAGUCGGAAUCGCUAGUAAUCGCAGGUCAGCAUACUGCGGUGAAUACGUUCCCGGGCCUU